UACGGAGGGUGCAAGCGUUAUCCGGAUUCACUGGGUUUAAAGGGUGCGUAGGUGGGCAAGUAAGUCAGUGGUGAAAUCUCCGGGCUUAACCCGGAAACUGCCAUUGAUACUAUUUGUCUUGAAUACUGUGGAGGUCAGCGGAAUAUGUCAUGUAGCGGUGAAAUGCUUAGAUAUGACAUAGAACACCGAUAGCGAAGGCAGCUUACUACAGGAUGAUUGACGCUGAGGCACGAAAGCAUGGGGAGCGAACAGG
rnacentral:rRNA from 1 species